UUGCUCUUCAACGAGGAAUACCUAGUAAGCGUAAGUCACCAACUUGCGUUGAUUACGUCCCUGCCCUUUGUACACACCGCCCGUCGCUACUACCGAUUGAAUGGCUUGGUGAGAUCUCCGGAUUGGCGUUGGGGAGCCGGCAACGGCACCCCUUGGCCGAGAAGCUGAUCAAACCUGGUCAUUUAGAGGAAGUAAAAGUCGUAACAAGGUUUCCGUAGGUGAACCUGCGGAAGGAUCAUUAAAGAUUGGCCGAAAGGCCUUAUCAUUAUAUCCCUCACCUCUGUGAACUGUGGACCCUCGGGUCUAUUUUACAAACAUCAGUGUAAUGAACGUAUAUAACAUUAACAAAACAAAACUUUCAACAACGGAUCUCUUGGCUCUCGCAUCGAUGAAGAACGCAGCGAAAUGCGAUAAGUAAUGUGAAUUGCAGAAUUCAGUGAAUCAUCGAAUCUUUGAACGCACCUUGCGCCUUUUGGUAUUCCGAAAGGCAUGCCUGUUUGAGUGUCAUGAAAUCUCAAUCCCCUCGGGUUUAUGAUCUGGGUCGGGACUUGGACUUGGGCGUCUGCCGGUUACACGGCUCGCCUCAAAUGACUAAGUGGAUCUCUCUGCAUCCGUGACAGACGUAAUAAGUUUCGUCUUGUCCCUUGCUAAUGAGUCUGCUCAUAACCUGCCAUCGCGCACUUUUAGACUCUGACCUCAAAUCAGGUAGGACUACCCGCUGAACUUAAGCAUAUCAAUAAGCGGAGGA
rnacentral:rRNA from 1 species